rnacentral:rRNA from 1 species
GGGUGCAAUAAUACCAGCGUUAAUGCACCGGAUCCCAUAAGAACUCCGCAGUUAAACGAGCUUGGGCUAGAGCAGUACUGGGAUGGGUGACAUCCCGGGAUGGGUGACCUCCCGGGAAGUCCUAGUGUUGCACCGU